rnacentral:lncRNA from 1 species
UUUGAGAUGUGUGCACACUGGAGGGAGGCGGGGCUGGAGAAGCAAGAUGAAGAGAAGGAAGGGGCAGGACAGGAGAACAGGAACGUGUCCCAGAGAAAAAAAAAGCUACGCUUUUUGAAAGAUAUCUUGCAGUUCAGGAGCUCGGAAGCGAUCCUGGAGGCAGUGGUGGGACAUCACUGCAGGACCUGCUCCAGAGAAGAGGACUGCCCUCACAGCUGCAUCGCGCAAGAUGACUGACGAGCAGCGUGGGAGAAAGCAGGGCUGGGAACAGGAAGAUUGGUCGGUGAGUUCAACAGCUAAGGCAAGAAUCAAGGACAAGUUGGAAUCUGUCACUGGUGGUGAGGCAGGAGGGGGCAGAUAUGAGAAGUAUUGGGGAAGAGAGAGAACGUGCAGAGGAAUUGCCUAUGGUGGUGAGUCUAGAACAAUGCCCAGGGGUUUGGGGAUUGGCACGCCGACAGACGGCAGGAUCAUUUGUCAAUAAAGGGAAUCCUAAAGAGGGAUCAGCUUCAACUGACUCUCCAUUUUUUCCCCCCAAUGCUCUAAUGCAUUCCCUCUGAUUAUUUAGCUUUUAUCAAACAUUCAGCUUGAAUACUGCUCUUCCAUCAGUGGCUUUUGGUUUUAUUAUCUAGCUAAUAGGGAUACUAUCUGUUCCUUCCUCAUAUUUAAGAAUUAAUGAAUGGGUGCAUGCACUGUUCCACGCACAGGAUAUUCAAUAAAGGUUAUGAUCAAAACCAAUGUCUAAAUCCCAUCCAAAACAGUCAUAAAACUUGCUCUCUCAACAAAUCCUUUUUGAGAGCCUGUGCUGUGUUCACUAUUGUUUAUUCUUUAUGUGGACAGUUAUUGAGCAGCUGUGAGAAAGGGCUUAUGCUAUUAAAAUUAUUUGUACUCUCUUCUUUUUUUUCUUCGUAUUCUUCUUCUUCUCCUUCCUUCUUUCUGUCUUUCUCAACCUCUCUGCUCCCCUCUCUCUAGCUUUCUUUUUCCCACUCUGUAUAUAGUUUCCAUUUCCAGGAGGAAAAAAGUCUGGAAAGCCAGAUUUUUAAGAGAGGAUGAAAAAACUUUCCUGAAUUAUUGAUUCAUAGCUUUAUAAUGCACCCAGGAUAGUAAGGACAUUUAUAGAUUUCAUGAGCUGUUUAAUAUCUAUUUGUGGAGCCCCGCCAUGUGCAAUCAUCUUGGACUCAUUAUGUUUCUUUGGCUGCCCAAUGAGUCAUAAUGAGCCUCUGAAAAUGUAAAAUAAUGGGUUAGAACUAGAGGGAAUGAAGUAACAGCCGAAGUCAGAUAUAAAAUUGUUAUUACAUACAGUCUGUAAGAGCGAUCAAGACAAGGAAGGGAAGGGAUAGAGGGCCUAUUAUUGCACGCACACAUGCGCACACAAACUUUAAGGAGAACUUGCAGUAAAGGGGGAGGUGGGUGGGGCGCCCUAUGAACAAGAUCCUUAAAAGUGAUGGCUUGCAGAUCUAUUUUUCCAUUAAGAUUCAAGCCAGAGGGGGUGGGGAGCUCAAAUUAUGGGAAAGAACCAGAGAAGCCAAUGGAGACCCUUUUGAGAAGGUGGAGCUCUGUACUGAGAGGAUAAAAGAGACUUUAUAGUCCAGCACUUAAAAUGAAGAGGAAGAGAUCAUUUCAAAACAGGGCACAAGAAAUAGCUUCAUUUCUCCCCAUUAACCUCCGUUCCCCCAAAGAAAGCCAGUUAGAGCAAAAGCAGGACAAAAGAAUCCCAUUCAAACACAAUGAGGACUGUCUGCUGUAAUGAGAGCCAUAUUUUGAAAAAGUAUUAGCGUGAUUUUCUCUUUUGGUUUGCAAGUAUAGGUCCUUCUUCCUAAUUGGUUCCAGGGUCAUCUGUCCAGAGGUCGGUGGGAGUGUUACAUGUGGCAUGCAAAGAGAAAGAGUUGAUAUUCAGCCUUUGAUAUGCAAUAUAAAUUUUUUUUUGAAGUGAGACAGUAGCCUUGCCAAAAGACUAAUUUUGUCUGAGAUCCACUGGAAUUCUUUUAUCUACUCCUUUGACCUAUUCAGCACCAACCACUAGCCCCCAGAAUCUUGGUGCUGCUCUCUUGCAGGUAGAAAAGUUAUUCUCCUGGAGAUACAACUUGCUUGCUGUUCCAGGAGAAAAGGAGUUCCACAGGGAAGGCAGAGAAGCCCUGCUCUUCCUGCCCCAGGAGGUGAUGACAGGAUGAAGAGAGUUGGGGGCGGGACUGAUUUAGGAGUAUCCAGAAGGGGUUGAUGCAAACACCAAGGGCCGGGAGGCCCUGAGACAAAAUCGAGGAGCUCAGCGUAGUUAAGGGGGUGGGGAUGCUGGAGACAGGCCUCGUUUGCACUUCUAGGAGAUUAGGUCAGUCCCUCCAUGGUAGAGAGAGACGGAACGUACAUACAAUCAGAAAAUAGCUAGGCCGUGCUUAAAAAUAGAACCCUGAUUUAUAAUCUGCAACGAUCUGCCCAGAAAGCCAACCUCUUAUCUAAAUCUAUCAGCCUAGGAGGGCAGCCCACUACAAGUUAGUCUUGUAGGAAGCCAGAUUGCUAUCUCUAGUGAGAAUCCAGGAAGCUAAACAGUAACUUCUAUAAUAAUCAGCCCCAAUGGCCAGGCCUUGAUUGAUAACUUUAGACAUCUUUCUUAAUUUUUGUCCCUACUUUUUAUUUUAGGACCAACCAGAGAGAAUCAGAGGCACGCACAGCCCAGUCAAUCACAUAGGAAACCCCACCUCUCAUUAGCCUGUUCUCCGCUUCCCUGUGCCAACAGCCUCCCAUCAGGGCACCCCUUCCCUGCCUUCCCCUUUUCCUAACAGAAAGCUUCCUCACUCCUCUGCCUGUCUUUAAGGCUGCAAAAUGCAAGUGAUGGCAGCUGACGCCCUUGCUGCAGCAAGCUCAAAAUAAAUAGCUUUUGCUUUUUCUCCUUUGGUUGAUCAUCCUAUAUUUCCAAAAUAGAGAAGCUUGGACUAGACUCAGUUGGUCUAAUCUGCAAGCCCUGUGGCAGGGUUCUUUGGUCUGCAUGUUUGUGUCUCCCUGAACCUGAUAUGUUGAAAUCCUAAUGCCUAAUGUGACGGUACUAGGUGACGGGGUCUUUGGGAGGUGCUUCACUCAUGAUGGAGGAACUGCCAUAAAUGGGAUUAGUGCCUUUAUAAAAGAGACCCCCCACCCCCGCCCCGAGAUCCCUCACCUCUCCACCCAGUGGGAAGUAGGCAGUCUGCAGCCCAGAAGAGAACCUUCAGCAGAACCCAACCACACUGGCCUGCUGACCUUCGACUUCCGGCCUCCAGAACACUGUGAGAAAUAAAUUUCUGUUGUUAUAAGCUACCCAGUCUGUGGUACUUUGUAACAGCAGCCAGAACAGUCUAAGACAUAGGGUAUAGAUCACCUCCCCUGGGGAACAGGGUGAGGAAUCAGAGUCAUGUGUUGCACAUGGCUAAUACUAGGGGGGGACCAGGUCAGCCAGAGAGACCCACCCUGCCUGAAGCAAGUGAGGGGAGCAGAGUAACUGGGCAUCAGCCUCAGCUGUAAGUGCCAACAUGGGAGGUAGCAUGCAGGUGGCCAGGGGCUGCUGUUCUGGAGACCCCGGGAACUGGAAGACCACAAGCUGUCCCUUUUCCCUCUGCUGAGAAGACACACAAGUCAUAUGUCUUCCUUUGUACACCCAGCCAUGAUUUUGGAGAGGAGCUGGAGAGAAGAGUGGAAGUGUGAAAAACUGGGGAGGAAACUGGGCUUUUUUACUGAGAGUCUGAGUAUUAGCUAAAGGAGUUGUUUAAAUGACUACAUCACCAACUUCAGUGUUAUUUCCCCAACAGUGGACCCACUCAGAAGAGCAGAUGAGGUAUAGGCACAAUAUUAAGCUGUAUUUUCUCUGCGUGUUUAAAUUGUAGUAUAAGCAAAAUUUGCAAACCUAGCAGAAACAAAACUAAUGUAUUUUUCCAUUCCUGUGCUAAACAAUUCUGGGAUAAAGUGUAAUUUCCUGGUUCUGAGCUCAACAGUGCUGGGACCAGGCAAAAAUAACUAAGGUACAGUAAAUACUCCAAUAAAUACUUGCUCCAAUAAACACUUGCUCCUGGAAAAUUAGACCGCAGAACCAGUAAAACAGCUAACUUAUAUUAGUCCUGUAUCCUGCAACUUUACUGAAUUCACAGAGUAGUUCUAAUACUUUUUCGGUAGAGACUUGAGGGUUUUUUACACAUAGUAUCAUGUCAUCUGUAAAUGGUGACAGUUUUAUUUCCUCCCUCUGAGUUGGAUGCCUUUUAUUUCUUUUUCUUUUAUGGUUACUGUGGCCAGGAUUUCCAAUACUCUAUUACAUAGAAGUGGGUAGAGUGGGCAUCCUUGUCUUGUUCCUAAUUUUAGAGGGAAAGCUUUCACCUUUUCACCACUGAGUAUGAGACUGCCUGGGAUGUGUCAUAAAUGGGUUUCAUUAUGUGGAGACAUGUUCUUUCUAGACUCACAUUGUGUGGAGUUUUCACCAUGAAGGAUGUUGAAUUUUGUCAAAUGCUCUUUCUGCGUCUAUGGAGACGACCAUCCACAGAGAACACAGCCAAUAUUUUACAAGUUUAAAUGGAGUGUAAUCUAGAAAAAUACGGAAUCGCCAUGUUGUACACCUGAAACUAAUACCAUAUUGUAAAUGAACUAUACAUCACAUCACUUACAGUAAAAUAAAGUAGCGAACAUCUCAAGACUAAGAGUUUUCUUACCCAAGUUCACUUUUAGGCCCUCACAUCUCUGUGCCUACCUGUCCACGCUAUUAAAUUCUGCCUUAUCCCAAUGCGUUCCCUGUCUUCAAGACCCACCUUAAAGCCACACCAUGCAAGCCCUAAACCCUGAGUAAUUUCCCCCUAUCUCCUUUGUGAGAUGCUUUUAGAUUCUGUCGAGGCAAUAUUCUUUUUUACUGCAAUAAGUUAAAAACGAACAAAAAAAAAGCCCUAGCUUUUCUUAACCAGCAGUUUUGUUUCUGGCAGUCUUUUAGGAUAAGCCAUAGCCAACAAUACCUUUUGGAAGUUUAUGGUCUGGCUGUGGAAUCUGAGGGGGAAACAGCCACACAAUAGGCAUGUGGCAGCAGGAAAUGGAUGAGUUGCUUCCAAGCAGAAGUGGUUACAGCUCCAGAGGCCAAAGGCCAGAAGUCUAUACAGGGGAGAAGAUGUAAACAUAUACUCCUAGUGGCAAACACAGGGCAGUUUCUGCGCACGGAAGAGACUAAUGACACUGCUUUUAUCUUCCGUCAGUCUCCGCACACAGCAAGAGCGGCAGUGAAAUUUAAGAUGGGCAUGAAAAGGCACCUAGCAGAUCCCUACCCGAACGCAGGCAUGCAUACACGGGGUAACUGUGAGCCCCAAGAAGGAGGGCUCAUUGCUCAGCUUUUUCAUUUUUUUUAUUAAAUUGACUCAGGCGGAGGGAGAAGAGAAAAAGACAGUGGUCCUGAUGUUCUCAAGGCCCUGGUGGAUGCGAAAACUUCUGGCUGCCCUUUCCAAGCCCACCAAAGACAGGCUGGAAGGAUGGGCUGUGAACUCCGAACGAAGCUGCAAACGCGUGUGAAUCCCAAGCUCCCAGGUUUAACAGGUUCCCUUGCUCUGCACGUGCACUUGGCCCCUGCCCCUCUCGUGGUUCCAGGUCCUGACGAGGGGCCUCAGUUGUUGGAGGAAGGCUCAGAAUCAGGCUUCCUAUUCCACCAAGUUCAGACUGUAUUUCGACACUAAGAAUUAAUUCCUCGCUUACCUCGGUCUGCAAACCUCAUCUGUGCCAACCCCGAAAGCUUUAUUCCCUCUGCUGGGCUGGCCAGUGAGACUGGGGUAUGGUUGCUUCUAUAUUUAGUUCCCAAAUGAGCCUUGGAAGCAGCCAGACCUCGUUCCCGGCUCCAUCUCAGUUGAGCUGUCAUCUCCUGGCUGUCGGUUCUGCUUCCAGCUCCCUGGUUUUUUGGGCUGAACGGCUUCAUGUCAGGCCUCCAGAAGGACCUCGGCCUGCAUGGCAGGCAACUGGUCCAUCCUCCUUUCAACCCACCUGGGAGGCCCAGAAGCCACCAAACUUUCCAAUAAGACCAGGCAGAAAUACACCUGAUUCCUUUCACCAGCAGACACAGUCCUCCUUCAGCUUUUCUCCUUCUCCUGCCAACUCUCUAGACCAGACCGUCACUCCAGCCCCUAAACAUCUGCUCUCCAAGCAUCUCUACCUAAAUGAGUCCUUCUUUCCUGUUGUAGAAGUGCUUACAUCAACACCGCAGUGCCAUCUUGUUCAAGCAAAAUUAGUUGAAAGAAGUAAGACGACAUAUCUUGGGUGGGGAAAGAAGAAGUUUCACGGGAAGACAAAUGUUUAUCUUUAAAUACUUCUUUCUGUGACUCCAUAGAGCUGGAGGGUUAGGUUUUGGUGGAAAUGAUAGGAAGGGAACUCUUGGCUAAAAUAAAGGAGACUUUUCUAAUAGUGAUACUCAAGUUAAUAAGCCUACUUAGAGAGCUUUUAAAUUUGGGUGCGGGUUAUUUGGGUAUGUUCUUUUUGUAAGUUUAUCGAGCCAUGCGCUUACGACUUAAGCACUUUUCUGUAUUCAUGUUAUUUUCCAGGUAAAAGUUAUUACCAGUGCAUAGCUCCCAACCUUCACUGCUCACAGUCAGGGAGCUGCUGAAGUAGAGCCUGGAUGACAUCUCACUGGGGGAAGCCUGGGAGACUCAUGCCUGGGACAGGGGAAAGUCAGAUGGCAUCUCCGUCUCCAUGGACUUUGUGACUACAUUUUCUGGAUCUUCCCAAGAUGGGGAAUUUGUAGUGUGCAGGCUCCUGCCCCCAGAUCAACCCUAGAGAAAUCAGAGAAGCAAGAGGGGAAGAUUCCGGGAAGGGAGAAUGACAAUGACCACACAGAACUGUGAGUAAUCCCUGGGUCAGCAGAAACCUGCCUUCGUCUGGUGUGAAUGUGGGACAAGGGUGGCUGGGGAAGGUGGCUGGAAGGGACAGUGGGAGAAGAGGCUGGAAGAGAGCUUUGUACGUUCUGCUCUGGUCUCCCUGCCCCCACCCAUGUCCCAGGAGCCUGAAGACAACGCCUGACUCCCUGCCCCUCAGAAGCGGGUCGCAGGGGCUCAGCUCUGGAGUCUGUUGUCUGCGGUCUCAGUGAUGGUGGAGGCAGCUCUAAUAUUUGGGCAGAAGAAGCCCUGGUAGGUAGUGGUGUUAGGUCUGGCAGCGGCCCUAGGCUCUUGUUCCCCAGCACCCCCAGCCCCCCAGCUAGCGGGCAACCCCCUUGGAGAUUGCCGUCUCCUAAGGCAGAGUUGCCACGGGGGUUUAAUGUUAAACCGGACCGGAAACGUUUCUGGUGAGAUGAUGGGCUAUGGUCCUGGGGUGACCAGGCCUCCCACUGGAAGCUCAUGACCCCUCUCCUCAAACUCCCCAGGGCGGACCUUUGACCCUUCCCCAAACACAGUACUGGAAAAUGGUAGCUGGUAUUCCCAGGGACGCUGUGAACUCAUCUGAGCACAACUAGACCCCUGAGGAGUUCUGAUGCCAAAAAAAAGUAUUUGCACAACAAACACCAUCUAACAGAGAAGUAUUACAAGGGCCAGGGCCAAGGGGGGAGGGUGGAAGAAGUGGGAUGGACAGGGAGCUUGGGGUGGGGGGAUGCAAACUAUUACAUUUAUAACCAAUGAGGUCCUGCUGUACAGCACAGGGAACUCUAUCCAGUCUCUUGGGAUAGACCAUGAUGGACGAUAACAUGAGAAAAAGAAUCUCUGUGUGUACGACAGGGUCACUGCUGUACAGCAGAAACUGACUCAACCCUGUAAAUCAAUUUUUUUUUUCUUUUUGCCAUUUCUUGGGCCGCUCCCGUGGCACAUGGAAGUUCCCAGGCUAGGGGUUGAAUUGGAGCUGCAGCUGCCGGCCUACGCCAGAGCCACAGCAGCGCAGGAUCCAAGCAGCAUCUGCAACCUACCCCACAGCUCACGGCAACACCGGAUCCUUAACCCUCUGAGCGAGGCCAGGGGUCGAACCCACAACCUCAUGGUUCCUAGUCGGAUUCGUUAACCGCUGAGCCACAAUGGGAACUCGAACACUGUAAAUCAGUUAAUACUCUA